UUAGCGGCACAGCCUUCAGCCUAAAACAAUGAGAAGCCUCUGAAAGGCUUGAGGUAGUGGAAUGAAU
rnacentral:pre_miRNA from 1 species